rnacentral:rRNA from 1 species
CCUACGGGUGGCUGCAGUGGGGAAUAUUGGACAAUGGGCGAAACCCUGAUCCAGCGACGCCGCGUGAGUGAAGAAGUAUUUCGGUACGUAAAGCUCUAUCAGUAGGAAAGAAAAUGACGGUACCUGACUAAGAAGCCCCGGCGAACUACGUGCCAGCAGCCGCGGUAAUACGUAGGGGGCAAGCGUUAGCCGGAUUGACUGGGUGUAAAGGGAGCGUAGACGGCAGCGCAAGUCUGGAGUGAAAUGCCGGGGCGCAACCCCGGAACUGCUCCGGAGACUGGGAAGCUGGAGUGCAGGAGAGGGGAGCGGAAUUCCUGGUGUAGCGGUGAAAUGCGUAGAUAUGGGGAGGAACACCGGCGGCGAAGGCGGCUUACUGGACUGUAACUGACGUUGAGGCUCGAAGGCGUGGGGAGCAAACAGGAUUAGAUACCCCUGUAGUC